AUCAGAAAAUAUCACAUCCACCAUUCCAACCAACAUUCUGUAUUUGGCUGGGUGUCUAGCAUCCUCAAUAAUGGGGAUAACAUUAGUACGUUUCUUAGCCAUGUUCACCAAGUCCCUUCCACUUCUGUGAGAAAAUUCAACAGCAUAUACAACCCCUUCAGGACCAACAAGGUCUGAGACAUGAGAUACUGUUGUUCCUGAAGCAGCACCCAAGUAAAGGACACGGGCACCUGGUUUAAUCCAAAUAUCAUCAACUCCUCCAAGAAUUGCAGCUGCUAACUUAGAACGGAAAGGAUUCCACACUCUGUAUUCGACCUUUGUUCCAUCUUCAUUCUGAACAGAAAUUCUCUUUUCAUUGUAGACAGCUUCACCGGGUACCAAAUUCUUAGUACAAAGAGCAUCUUCUUUUCCCUUAGCAAUGAACACGCCCCCAUGUCUAUGAGGCUCGACCACAACCUUACUACCACCCUUCAUUCCUCCACGUCCCCUUCCUCCACCUCUUCCACCUCUGUCUCCUCUACCUCCUCUACCUCCUCCUCGCUUCAUCCCACUUCCUCCACUUCCAAAACCCCCUCUUCCACCACUGAAACCACCUCUACCACCUCGCCCUCCUCUUCCUCCUCCAUCUCCUCUACCUCCCCUGAAUCCACCACCACCACGACCUCUAGUUGGUGCAACCAUGGCUGCUGCUGCUGGAUAUUGAUGGAAGCAGAGAAGAGUUAUCAAGUAGAGCUCUA
rnacentral:misc_RNA from 1 species